rnacentral:rRNA from 1 species
CAAGUACCGUGAGGGAAAGUUGCAAAGAACUUUGAAGAGAGAGUUCAAUAGGACGUGAAACCGCUUGCAGGGAAACAGAUGGACCCACGAAGUCCUGUUGGUAGUGAAAUUCAAUUUGACUACUGUGUUGUUGGUCGUUAGUUGUUCGCUUGUCGAAUGAUUAUGAUCAUCAUUGCAUUUUAGUCAAUGCACUUUUCACUACCACGUUGGAGCUCUGACUCUUAACACACAACUUGAUUGUUUAGUGCAACUUUUUUUAGUGGUUAAGUCUCUUUAUUGAGUCUUAUUCACUUUGAAAGGAGUCAAAUCGAGUUACGGUUAAGAGGUGAAUUACUUACUAUUGUAAGUCUAUUCAGAUCGUCUGAUCUUGGUGAUGGUGUAGAGUAGGUCUCUUAAGUGACUUUCGGCUCUUGUAGUUGAAACCAUUUUUGAAUGCUUGCUCAUAUACAUUGUCAUCUUGUCAAACGAUGAUCCAGAGUAAGUAGGUCGGUCAUCCAUCUGACCCGUCUUGAAACACGGACCAAGGAGCCCAACAAAUGCGCGAGUCGCACGGUCUUGAAUAGGCCUGUGAGGCGAAAUUAACAUAACGGUGUGAUCAUGUGUAUCGCUUCGCAAGAGGUGCAUACUAUGCGCAACACCAACCUGCUUUAUGUACUUAUUGU